rnacentral:rRNA from 1 species
UACAGAGGUGGCAAGCGUUGUUCGGAAUUACUGGGCGUAAAGGGCGAGUAGGCGGCCCACUAAGUCAGACGUGAAAUCCCCCGGCUUAACCUGGGAACUGCGUCUGAUACUGGAGGGCUAGAGUAUGGGAGAGGGAUGUGGAAUUCCAGGUGUAGCGGUGAAAUGCGUAGAUAUCUGGAGGAACACCGGUGGCGAAGGCGGCAUCCUGGACCAUAACUGACGCUGAAUCGCGAAAGCUAGGGGAGCAAACGGG